AGCGAACGCUGGCGGCAGGCCUACACAUGCAAGUCGAACGAAGUCUUCGGACUUAGUGGCGGACGGGUGAGUAACACGUGGGAACGUACCUUUUGGUUCGGAACAACUCAGGGAAACUUGAGCUAAUACCGGAUGAGCCCUUAGGGGGAAAGAUUUAUCGCCGAAAGAGCGGCCCGCGUUAGAUUAGCUAGUUGGUGAGGUAAAGGCUCACCAAGGCUACGAUCUAUAGCUGGUCUGAGAGGAUGAUCAGCCACACUGGGACUGAGACACGGCCCAGACUCCUACGGGAGGCAGCAGUGGGGAAUCUUGCGCAAUGGGCGAAAGCCUGACGCAGCCAUGCCGCGUGAAUGAUGAAGGUCUUAGGAUUGUAAAAUUCUUUUACCAGGGACGAUAAUGACGGUACCUGGAGAAAAAGCCCCGGCUAACUUCGUGCCAGCAGCCGCUGUAACAC
rnacentral:rRNA from 1 species